AUUGAACGCUGGCGGCAGGCCUAACACAUGCAAGUCGAGCGGCAGCGGAAAGUAGCUUGCUACUUUGCAGGCGAGCGGCGGACGGGUGAGUAAUGUCUGGGAAACUGCCUGAUGGAGGGGGAUAACUACUGGAAACGGUAGCUAAUACCGCAUAACGUCGCAAGACCAAAGAGGGGGACCUUCGGGCCUCUUGCCAUCAGAUGUGCCCAGAUGGGAUUAGCUAGUAGGUGGGGUAACGGCUCACCUAGGCGACGAUCCCUAGCUGGUCUGAGAGGAUGACCAGCCACACUGGAACUGAGACACGGUCCAGACUCCUACGGGAGGCAGCAGUGGGGAAUAUUGCACAAUGGGCGCAAGCCUGAUGCAGCCAUGCCGCGUGUAUGAAGAAGGCCUUCGGGUUGUAAAGUACUUUCAGCGGGGAGGAAGGUGUUGAGGUUAAUAACCUCAGCAAUUGACGUUACCCGCAGAAGAAGCACCGGCUAACUCCGUG
rnacentral:rRNA from 1 species